GUCCCAAAAUGACAAGACAAGAGCUCCUCUUCUCGAGCCAUCAGUCCUCCCACAAGUUCUAGAGAUAACACCAAAUAAAACUUUUCAAGUCUUAACACUAUACCAAGCAGCUCUACUAUAAGCCUCAAGACAUAAAAUAGCUCUUUUCUAAGCCAAAACGACUCAUCAGCUCUUCAGUACCAUCUCAGAGCUCUUCACUUAAGGAUUAGAAAAAACCCAAUUGCUCCUCAAGUUUUAGUCAGUACCAUGAUCUCCUUAGUGUAAGUGUUUAGUGCUACCGUUAAGCUCCUCUAAACCCUAAGCCUUCUUCUAAGUUUCCUCUUAAGCCUCACAGUAGAAGGAAGGAGCACUGUACUGCCUUCCAUCGCCAGUGAACACACGGUAAGCCAAAAGCCAAGACUCGCGCCGCUAAACUCGCCCACUCCAUCUCGCAAAGUUUAUAAUUCAGACGUGAACUUUGAUACACCAUGACGUGAAGUUUGGGACAUGACACCCAGUGGUUCUGACACGCCGACUCGAGGGGCUGUGGCUGCCGCCGCGACGAGGCCCUGAGAAAGAUAUCCAAGAAAUGCCGUGCUUCAGAUGGCUCCAGUGUGUGUGUGUGUAUGUGUGUGUGUGUGUGUGCGGGGGAGGAGAGCGGGAGCGAGGGAGGAGCGAAGUGUGACCUGAUCGGACAUAACGCAAGGGAAGGGCGGGCAGUGUCAUGCUGGCGGUGCUAGAGAGAGCCACGCUUCGCUCCGCCUCUCACGCCGCCACUGGAAUCUCGCCGCUCGCUACUCGCUGCUUUGCCACCGCACUGCCACGUUUCCCGCGCCACAAUGGCCGAGCUGCCGCGCCAUGCUCCUUGACGCCACAAUCAUGACUCUUGUUACCGUGGCCUGGGACGUCGCCACAUACAGCUAGAACUAAUAACUUUGUCUCCGUUAAAUUUUGGUACUUGUCCGUGUUGUCUUUCGCGCCUCUGCCUCCACAUCUCCUCUCCAAGCUUCACCUCCACUCUCCUACCUCUACCUGGAGACUGAGAACACUAAGACAUUAAAAACUAUACACAAAAAGCCCUGGAAAAUAUUUGUAUCUACCAAAAUAACGUAGAUUUAUCACACUUUUCGAGAAACUGAAACUCGAGGACGCGGUGAACUCAAGAAACACUUAGAAAAUUCUCGUGUUUCUCCUUGGACUGAACUCAAGGGAACGCAAAGGAAGAACAAAUAGCAGCAGACCUUUUGCUGACCGGUACGAGAGGUUGUGGGUGUGGACUGAUUUGUUGUUAUUUCUCAUCCAUCGCUCACCAUUCGCUCUCCACGACAGUCUUACAGUGUGCUAACCAUGGGCCGCUACCUCCUGCUCCUCGUGGUGGUCGUGGCAGCCUUCCAGGACCUCUGGGCCAGCGGGGGUCGAACUGAUGGCCUCUCACGCUGGGGGACCACGUGGGGCAAGCACAACCACAAGGGCGCGGCGUCCAGCAGGUCUAGAGCCUCCCACCUGUCCCGCAUCAAGCCCGAGCAGCAGAACAACACGGAAAUCUUGGCUCAGGUCGGCGGGCGGGUCACCAUUAAAUGUUACACUCGAUUCCUCGGCAACGAAAUAGUAACGUGGCUGAAGAGGGACGAGGAUCACCUGUUGACUGCCGGGUCACAGGUGUACUCUUCUGACGUCCGCUUCUCCGUAGCACACAUCAAGAACCAGGACCUGUGGCAACUCUCUCUACGGGAUGUGCGCCUGUCUGAUGCCGGCCUGUAUGAAUGUCAACUCACCACGCACCCUCCCACCUCGCUCUUCUUCACUCUCAAGGUGGUGGAGGCGCGAGCGGUGAUCGAGGGGCAGCCCCGCCACACACUUCCACAAGGGCCCACACGCUGCGUCUGCACUGCAUCGUAGAGCGCGCCACAGAGGAACCCAUGUACAUCUUCUGGUACCACAACGGCAGCAUGGUCAACUAUUACCCAAACAAGCCCGACAGGAUCUCUAAGCACCGCUACAGCAGCACCCUCACCAUCAACAACCUCACCUGGUCCCACGCCGGCGAGUACCGCUGCGAGCCGCCACUGGCCACCCCCCGCUUCCAUCACCGUGCACGUCACCAGACCCCCGGCGGCUAUGCAGAACACGGGCGAAGGAAGAGGAGGAGGAGGAGGAGGAGGAGGAAGGAUCAUGGUAGGAGUAGGAGUGGCUCUCUCUUUCUCCCCACCCGUCGUGCCUUGGGUCAUCUCCCCUCUACCUCUUGUUCUGUCUCCUUGCAGCCAGCUGGUGAGAGGAGGGAGAGGAGGAGGUGGUGUCUGAAGUUUCUCUCUCUUUCUCUCUACCUUCUCCCCUUCUCUAGCCUUCUGCAGCUUCAUAAACACUGGGAAAGAACGACUGCAAAACAUCUCCAGUGACGGAUAAGUGCCAGGGAUGGAACGUACUGUUUACCGUUUUCUGUGGAAGGAAGGACGGAAGGGGUAACUCAUGUACCGUACGUAGAGUUGUCAAAAACGAUUAAUAAUGUUUUCCCUUUGUGUCUUAACUGUGUAAAAAGUUAGUAGUAGAGUGUGUGUGUGUGUGUGUGUGUGUGUGUGUGUGUGUGUAGGUGGGUGUAAAGAGCGUAAAGGAGUUGUAAUAUUAAAGAGUAUUUAGAGCUGUGUAUUCGCUCGUGGGUCUUAAAAGGAUUAAAAGUUUAGUGUUACGUGAUAUUGUGGUGGUGAAUUUAUUUAUUUAUUUAUUUUUUUGUUAUAUUUUGGUGGGGGGGACGAGUUUUUGUGUAUAAUAAUGUUUUGAGUGAUGUGAUGUGAGCUCUUCCCCCUCGUGUUGUGUGUGUGUGUGUAUGUGUAUGUGUGUGUGUGUGUGUGUGUGUACAAAAAAAAUAAAAGUGCUUAUAAUCAUGUGUCUUCGUCUAUUACGUAAUUCAAACAAGAGAAAAAACACUCCAUGUAUGUAAAUAAUGUACCUAUGUGUGUGUAUGUAUAUAUAUGUACGUAUUGAAGCUUGUGUGCAUAUACAUAGUGAAAAAAAAUUAGCUGUGUACGUAAAUGGCAAUCCUAGUUCAAAAAUUAAUGUACGUAAGUAUGAAUGUGUGUGUGUGUGUGUGUGUGUGUGUGUGUGUGUGUGUGUGUGUGUGUGUGUGUGUGUGUGUGUGUGUGUGUGUGUGUACUACGUGCCAAAUAAUCCUGUGUUUCGUGAAUAAAAUGAAUAAAAUGCAGUUGAACCUU